rnacentral:rRNA from 1 species
CCUACGGGGCGCAGCAGUGAGGAAUAUUGGUCAAUGGACGCAAGUCUGAACCAGCCAUGCCGCGUGCAGGAAGACGGCUCUAUGAGUUGUAAACUGCUUUUGUACGAGGGUAAACGCAGAUACGCGUAUCUGUCUGAAAGUAUCGUACGAAUAAGGAUCGGCUAACUCCGUGCCAGCAGCCGCGGUAAUAUGGAGGAUUCAAGCGUUAUCCGGAUUUAUUGGGUUUAAAGGGUGCGUAGGCGGUCGGAUAAGUUAGAGGUGAAAUCCCGAGGCUCAACUUCGGACUUGCCUCUGAUACUGUUCGGAUAGAGAGUAGUUGCGGUAGGCGGAAUGUAUGGUGUAGCGGGGAAAUGCUUAGAGAGCAUACAGAACACCGAUUGCGAAGGCAGCUUACCAAGCUACUUCUGACGUUGAGGCACGAAAGCGUGGGGAGCAAACAGGAUUAGAUACCCCAGUAGUC